rnacentral:pre_miRNA from 1 species
GUGCAGUCUGGGAUUCGUCAGUCUUGGUUAUAAGGUUCAGUGUCAUACAGUUAAAAUGUAACUGAGUUUUUCAAGAGAACUUUACUAUGAAUUAAUCUCGGAUGAUUU